CGACACUCCUACGGGAGGCAGCAGUGGGGAAUUUUGGACAAUGGGCGAAAGCCUGAUCCAGCAAUGCCGCGUGAGUGAAGAAGGCCUUCGGGUUGUAAAGCUCUUUUGUCAGGGAAGAAACGGUGAAAGCUAAUAUCUUUUGCUAAUGACGGUACCUGAAGAAUAAGCACCGGCUAACUACGUGCCAGCAGCCGCGGUAAUACGUAGGGUGCAAGCGUUAAUCGGAAUUACUGGGCGUAAAGCGUGCGCAGGCGGUUUUGUAAGUCUGAUGUGAAAUCCCCGGGCUCAACCUGGGAAUUGCAUUGGAGACUGCAAGGCUAGAAUCUGGCAGAGGGGGGUAGAAUUCCACGUGUAGCAGUGAAAUGCGUAGAUAUGUGGAGGAACACCGAUGGCGAAGGCAGCCCCCUGGGUCAAGAUUGACGCUCAUGCACGAAAGCGUGGGGAGCAAACAGGAUUAGAAACCCCUGUAGUCCCAUG
rnacentral:rRNA from 1 species